rnacentral:rRNA from 1 species
UAACGGCGUCGAGCGGCGGACGGGUGAGUAAUGCCUAGGAAAUUGCCCUGGUGUGGGGGAUAACCAUUGGAAACGAUGGCUAAUACCGCAUAAUGCCUACGGGCCAAAGAGGGGGACCUUCGGGCCUCUCGCGUCAGGAUAUGCCUAGGUGGGAUUAGCUAGUUGGUGAGGUAAGGGCUCACCAAGGCGACGAUCCCUAGCUGGUCUGAGAGGAUGAUCAGCCACACUGGAACUGAGACACGGUCCAGACUCCUACGGGAGGCAGCAGUGGGGAAUAUUGCACAAUGGGCGCAAGCCUGAUGCAGCCAUGCCGCGUGUGUGAAGAAGGCCUUCGGGUUGUAAAGCACUUUCAGUCGUGAGGAAGGUAGUGUAGUUAAUAGCUGCAUUAUUUGACGUUAGCGACAGAAGAAGCACCGGCUAACUCCGUGCCAGCAGCCGCGGUAAUACGGAGGGUGCGAGCGUUAAUCGGAAUUACUGGGCGUAAAGCGCAUGCAGGUGGUUUGUUAAGUCAGAUGUGAAAGCCCGGGGCUCAACCUCGGAAUUGCAUUUGAAACUGGCAGACUAGAGUACUGUAGAGGGGGGUAGAAUUUCAGGUGUAGCGGUGAAAUGCGUAGAGAUCUGAAGGAAUACCGGUGGCGAAGGCGGCCCCCUGGACAGAUACUGACACUCAGAUGCGAAAGCGUGGGGAGCAAACAGGAUUAGAUACCCUGGUAGUCCACGCCGUAAACGAUGUCUACUUGGAGGUUGUGGCCUUGAGCCGUGGCUUUCGGAGCUAACGCGUUAAGUAGACCGCCUGGGGAGUACGGUCGCAAGAUUAAAACUCAAAUGAAUUGACGGGGGCCCGCACAAGCGGUGGAGCAUGUGGUUUAAUUCGAUGCAACGCGAAGAACCUUACCUACUCUUGACAUCCAGAGAACUUUCCAGAGAUGGAUUGGUGCCUUCGGGAACUCUGAGACAGGUGCUGCAUGGCUGUCGUCAGCUCGUGUUGUGAAAUGUUGGGUUAAGUCCCGCAACGAGCGCAACCCUUAUCCUUGUUUGCCAGCGAGUAAUG